UAGCCGUAAACGAUACUCGCUAGGUGUCGGCCACGGUGCGACCGUUGUCGGUGCCGUAGGGAAGCCGUGAAGCGAGCCACCUGGGAAGUACGGCCGCAAGGCUGAAACUUAAAGGAAUUGGCGGGGGAGCACCACAACGGGUGGAGCUUGCGGUUUAAUUGGAUUCAACGCCGGAAAUCUUACCGGGACCGACAGCAACAUGAAAGCCAGGCUGAAGACUUUGCCGGAUUAGCUGAGAGGAGGUGCAUGGCGUAGUCGUGU
rnacentral:rRNA from 1 species